GUGUGAUUAACUGGAAAGAUCUGAGUCCCAACUCCCUCUUACGCCCCCUGCUGGAGGCCCCACUGCUCUGCUACACCGCAGCUCAGGAAACAGUUUUCUGAGAGGAAAAGAGCAGCAAGUAGAGAAGCAUACGGGAAACAGUUGUUUUGGGGAACCAUUGAGAUCGAACAACUAGAAGAGCUAGGGAUCAACAACAGCCAAUCAAGACCACAGUUGAUGACAGGUAUUCAGGAGGAACCUUGCUGAUAUAAAUCUGGAGAGGAAAUUAAGUCCCAGAAGGUUUUCUUCCAGGUAUUUUACAAGAUUCUUUCUUGAGUCUUCUACAGAUGAAGUAGACACUUCUUGAAGAAAAUUCAAAAGAAUACUGGAUAUGAGAAUAGAUAUUUCCCAGGGGAGUAGUCUUCAGUAAACCAGCAAACUCCUUUCUUAAACAGUCAGAUAUAUGACUGGAGUACGGGUCUCCACAGAUUGUACAUGAAAAUCAGAUGGACAUGGGGAAAAUGAUCCAAUUUUGCCAAUUGUAAGUUUGAUCCAUGUGGUACACAGCUGUUCUUUAUAUGAACAAAUUCUUGAGAAGCUAAUUUGCUGGAAGCAAAGUAUGUUUCUUGAAAGCUAUGGAAAAUAUAUCACAGUGCUUUAGCAGUUUUUAUUUGCCCGUUACCAUUGAUAAUGUACAGCAUUUCAUGACAUAAGAUAUUGGUUUGUCUCUUUUAAGAUGGUAUUUGAAAGCUCAGAGAAGUGGUAAUAUGCAACAUGUUUUGGAGGAUUGCCUUUGCUGAACAGUGCAGCAAAUGGGAAUGUAACGACUAACAACCACAGAAAACUAGCACAGAAUGCCUAAGAGAUGGGUGCUAAUUCCUAAUAUAUGGACGAGACUGUUCUAGAGGAGUUCCUUCUUGUUUUAGAUUGAUAUUUUCAAGAGCACCCAGCAUUGGCCUAAUUCUGCUUCCAUUGCAGUUUUUGGUUAUAAACUUUCAUUGACUUAAGCAAAGUUAGGUGAUUGCUGAGUGCUUUUGAAAAUCCCAGCCUUAAUAAUUUACUAUACAAGUAUGAGAUUGGAACAUUACUGUUUAAGUGACUCUGCCCAUAGUUUGUUUCUACCUGUCCAAUCCCAAAAUUACUUUUCAGUACAAUUCAGUAAAGCACUUAAACAUAUGAAUUGGAGCCCACGUGGGCCAGGUCCCCAGGCUGGUGUAGAUUGGUAUCACUCCAUUGAAGUCUACAGAGCAAUGCUGAUUUACAUCAGUUGAGGAUUUGACUCCUUCUUAAUCUUAUUCUGCAUUCUUUCUCUCUGCCUUUGAUGAUAUUAGUGUGUGGUCCAGUCUCUCUCCAGAACCCAAGAGCAGUUUCUGCCUUCAGCUCCAUCAGGAUACUGAGUUGACAUGGGGCUUUCAUGUCAGAGGUGUAUAAUGCACUCUUGGAACAGCUGUAAUGGGAAAGCCCCAGACUGUGUGAAAAAGGAACACGCCAACCUCACUAGGAAAACCAACAAUCUGCUAGCCUCCACAAUCAGACACCAAAUCUAUGAGGAGGCAAGAGGGAAAAAGAUGAAGAGUGAGGCAAGAGGAUUGCUGCAAGGCCAUGGAAGGGGUUGCUUUUCUAUCCUAGUGUGGGCUUGAUAAAGGUUUGAGGAAAUGGCAGAGGUCCUACUCUUUUCCAAACCAGUUCAGCUAUCACUAGUGAGCAUGUUUUUAAGUUUAUUUCCUUAGCUGGUGUAUUUUUGUUAUGAAGGCCAAAGUGCUAGAUUUAUUACUUAUUUUAGUGUACAUGUUUGCCAAGGGCACGUAGGGCUCAGGAUAGGCACCUUUUUAAUAUUUUGUACAAAUCUAAAUCGAUGAAUGAAUUAGGUACCUAAAUAUCUUGCUCUGUUUUCAUUUUUCAAUCCCUUUUCAGCUCUUGAUGAAAGAUGCUGGGAAAUUAAUUUCAAACCUUACUUCAAAUAGC